rnacentral:lncRNA from 10 species
GAUAUUCUGAUGUUUGUGGUAGUACGGAUGAUGAGAAGUUGAUGAGUCUAGGAAUAUAUGAGUCGCUGGCCUGGAAGUAAUACAAUGAUUCAGAUUGGGAGUUGGGAAGGUCUACGUCGUUAUCCAUGGGGGAGGUUGCUAGAAAGGAAACUAUUUAAACACUUUAAAGAAACACAACUCUGAAAACACCUAGAACCUGAAGAGUGAGGGGAAACAGACAGGGUCCCCAGUGGGGUGACUUGGCUCUUUUUGAGGGGCCCUAUAAUGUCCUGGGCUUAACGCUAUCUCUGCCCUUCCACCAUGCACUGUAAUGGUCUGAUAACUGGUCUGCUUCAUAAGAGCAUGAACUUCUUACGGCAAGGACUGUGUCUUACUCACCUUUGUGUCACUUAGUUCAGUGCCUGGAUCAUAGCAGAUGUUUGUUAAAUAAAUGUUUGUUAGAAGGUUGAGCAAGUAAACAAAUGCCAGGAAAGGUGAGAAUUUGAAAGAAGGCUAGGGAAAGGGAAGGAAGAAGGCUUUGGUCUCUGUGCUAGGAGAAGGAGAAUUUGGGAAAAUCGUGUAUUUAUGUAUGCCCAGAAGAGUAUUAUUCAUGGCUUGAGUGUGAAUCUAAGACCUGGAUACCUUUUCUGACAGAAAGGUAUCACAUUCUUCAAAAUUAAAAGGAGAAGAUGCCUGAAGAAUUGUUCAGGUGCAAAGAGAAAUUCCAUCAGGAAUCCAGCAAGGCGGGGUUGGGUUCUAAGAUGAAGACUUGAGCAACACAAAUGUAUGAACAACCAACAGGAAGCGGAGCCUGUCCAAAGCCUGAUUUACUUAGUGAGGCUCAGCUCAUUUGAUUUAGGAGGUGAUUUUUGUAACAAAUUUUUGUCCUGAGGUGGCCAAAAAGUUCUUUAGUGCUUAAAGCUGAUGGAGUGUGGGUUAGGAAAAUAAAAACAGCCCAGGG